GCAAGUCGAACGCGAACGUACCUUCGGGUGCUAUUAGAGUGGCGGACGGGUGAGUAACGCGUAGGAAUCUACCCAGUAGUGGGGGACAACUAGAAGAAAUUCUAGCUAAUACCGCAUACGCCCUAUGGGGGAAAGACUUCGGUCGCUAUUGGAUGAGCCUGCGUCAGAUUAGCUAGUUGGUAGGGUAAUGGCCUACCAAGGCAACGAUCUGUAGCUGGACUGAGAGGUCGAAC
rnacentral:rRNA from 1 species